AAAACUGGUUUUGGGGCAGAAGUGUCCCACCAGAGCAGAAAUUUGAACAGUUCACACAUUAUUACAUCAAUAGAUGCAAGCAUUGGGAAAUCAGGAGGAAGAUGAGGGAAGCUCAAGCACAAAGCUGUCAGGAUUCAAUGAAGAGACCACAGCUCCAAAUGAGUCACCUCCUUGUAAGAAGAAAGCCUUAGAUGCACUGUUUGGCGAUUCCUUCACCCAAAGAAGAAAGAAAAUCUACAAGCGAGACAGCCAGAGCAGAGGUGUUAAGGUACUGAGCAAAACAUGCGUUGCCUGUGACUGAAAAUGCCAUGAAGUGGUGGAGAUCUCAGGAGAAAGAGCUACCUGUACUGUCGAACAUAGUGAACGCGUGAGAGAAGUGUUUAUUAAAAUGAGAGUAGUAGCAGGUUCAGCCACUGCUCAUUCAACCUGAAGAAAUGUUGG